AUGGAUGGAGGUGGAAGUGCAGACACGGAGGUGGAAGUGCAGACACUGCCGACGGCAGCGGAUGCGCAAGAGACGGAGCAAGGCGCCCGAUGGAGGAAACUGGCGGCGCCGGGCAGAGGCUUGGGCGGAGCUCCUCCGGCUGGACGCUGGCAAGGAGGAAGGACGUCGCGGAGCGGAGUCGCGAGGAACGCAGGGGCCGCGGGGUGGCUGCGUGCCUACGGGAGCAAAGCGAUGGAAGCGGUGGCGAAGCUGCGGGCCAGCAUGGUGGCCUCCAUGGUCGGUGGCCGUGCAGGUCGCGCAAGGCGAAGGGACGCCGCGGGAGGCAGCGGCGAGCUUGAGGGUCGGUGGCACGCGUGGAGGAAGAGGAUCCUGGGCGUGGAGCUGACGAAGGAGGGCCAAGGGAGGUCACAGGGGGCUCGCCGGUGCGAGAUCCGAGCAGCAGAGGGAGGAGGUGGCGGCGCUAGGUGGAAGGAGGGGAAGGGGAGAUCGAACAAGGCACGCGCUCGAUGUCUCCUACGGCGCGAGGGGGAACGAGAGGGAGAGACCAGGGGAUCGGGAGAGAGCGUGACUAGGGUUGAGAAGGCAGGGGCCGGCUGGGCCUCUGGAAGUGAGGUUUGGGAAGGUCCAAAAAUGUUCAGAUUUUUAGUGGAGCUCCGGAAUAUGAUGAAAUAA
rnacentral:rRNA from 1 species